CGCGAAGAACCUUACCUGGUCUUGACAUCCACGGAAGUUUUCAGAGAUGAGAAUGUGCCUUCGGGAACCGUGAGACAGGUGCUGCAUGGCUGUCGUCAGCUCGUGUUGUGAAAUGUUGGGUUAAGUCCCGCAACGAGCGCAACCCUUAUCCUUUGUUGCCAGCGGUCCGGCCGGGAACUCAAAGGAGACUGCCAGUGAUAAACUGGAGGAAGGUGGGGAUGACGUCAAGUCAUCAUGGCCCUUACGACCAGGGCUACACACGUGCUACAAUGGCGCAUACAAAGAGAAGCGACCUCGCGAGAGCAAGCGGACCUCAUAAAGUGCGUCGUAGUCCGGAUUGGAGUCUGCAACUCGACUCCAUGAAGUCGGAAUCGCUAGUAAUCGUGGAUCAGAAUGCCACGGUGAAUACGUUCCCGGGCCUUGUACACACCG
rnacentral:rRNA from 1 species